rnacentral:rRNA from 1 species
GAUGAACGCUGGCGGCGUGCCUAACACAUGCAAGUCGAACGGAAAGGCUCCUGCUUGCAGGGGUACUCGAGUGGCGAACGGGUGAGGAACACGUGGGUGAUCUGCCCUGCAUUUCGGUAUAAGCCUGGGAAACUGGGUCUAAUACCGUAUAGGACGAUGGUUUCGAUUCCAUUGUGGAAAGUUUUUCGGUAUGGGAUGAGCUCGCGGCCUAUCAGCUAGUUGGUGGGGUAAUGGCCUACCAAGGCGUCGACGGGUGGCCGGCCUGAGAGGGUGUACGGCCACAUUGGGCCUGAGAUACGGCGCAGACUCCAACGGGAGGCAGCAGUGGGGAAUAUUGCACAAUGGGAGCAAGCCUGAUGCAGAGACGCCGCGUGGGGGAUGACGGCCUUCGGGUUGUAAACUCCUUUCGCUAGGGACGAAGCGCAAGUGACGGUACCUGGAGAAGAAGCACCGGCUAACUACGUG